rnacentral:rRNA from 1 species
GGAAUCUUGCGCAAUGGAGGAAACUCUGACGCAGCCACGCCGCGUGCCGGAAGACGGCCCUAUGGGUUGUAAACGGCUUUUGCAUGGGAAGAACGUACGCGAUUCGUCUUUUAGUUACGGUACCAUUUGACUAAGCACCGGCUAACUCCGUGCCAGCAGCCGCGGUAACACGGAGGGUGCAAGCGUUGUCCGGAAUCAUGGGGUGUAAAGGGUGCGUAGGUGGGAGCCUAAGUCUGUGGUGAAAUCUUGCCGCUUAACGGUAAAAUUGCCAUGGAUACUGGGUUUCUUGAGUACAGAAGAGGUCGGUGGAAUUCGUAGUGUAGCGGUGAAAUGCAUAGAUAUUACGAAGAACAUCAGUGGCGAAGGCGGCCGGCUGGACUGUAACUGACACUGAGGCACGAAAGCGUGGGGAGCG